CCUACGGGCGGCAGCAGUGAGGAAUAUUGGUCAAUGGACGCAAGUCUGAACCAGCCAUGCCGCGUGCAGGAAGACGGCUCUAUGAGUUGUAAACUGCUUUUGUACGAGGGUAAACGCAGAUACGCGUAUCUGUCUGAAAGUAUCGUACGAAUAAGGAUCGGCUAACUCCGUGCCAGCAGCCGCGGUAAUACGGAGGAUUCAAGCGUUAUCCGGAUUUAUUGGGUUUAAAGGGUGCGUAGGCGGUCGGGUAAGUUAGAGGUGAAAUCCCGAGGCUCAACCUCGGAAUUGCCUCUGAUACUGUUAGGCUAGAGAGUAGUUGCGGUAGGCGGAAUGUAUGGUGUAGCGGUGAAAUGCUUAGAGAUCAUACAGAACACCGAUUGCGAAGGCAGCUUACCAAGCUACGUCUGACGUUGAGGCACGAAAGCGUGGGGAGCAAACAGGAUUAGAUACCCCAGUAGUC
rnacentral:rRNA from 1 species